CCUACGGGUGGCAGCAGUGGGGAAUAUUGCACAAUGGGGGAAACCCUGAUGCAGCGACGCCGCGUGAGUGAAGAAGUAUUUCGGUAUGUAAAGCUCUGUCAGCAGGGAAGAAAAUGACGGUACCUGACCACGAAGCCCCGGCUAACUACGUGCCAGCAGCCGCGGUAAUACGUAGGGGGCAAGCGUUAUCCGGAUUUACUGGGUGUAAAGGGAGCGUAGACGGCAGGGCAAGUCUGGAGUGAAAGUCGGGGGCCCAACCCCCGGACUGCUCUGGAAACUGCCAGGCUGGAGUGCAGGAGAGGUAAGUGGAAUGCCUGGUGUAGCGGUGAAAUGCGUAGAUAUUAGGAGGAACACCAGUGGCGAAGGCGGCUUACUGGACUGUAACUGACGUUGAGGCUCGAAAGCGUGGGGAGCAAACAGGAUUAGAUACCCCAGUAGUC
rnacentral:rRNA from 1 species